CCCGGGGCCGCAGCUCUGCUCGAGCACUUCCCACGACCCCUCCGCGGCUGUUGGGCUCCCGAGCGCGCGAGCCUGACCCCCCCCCCCCCCCGGCGGUGACCGCGGAGCAGCUUCCCCGCCCCCUGGCCUUAUGUCCCUACUCCCCCUCCCCCCCCGCGCAGUGUCUGGGCCAGGGCCGCCCGCUGCAAGCGGGGCUGGCGUAUCCGCUGUCCUUGCUGGAGCCCGUCAGGUCCUGAGGGGGCGGGGAGGAUGGAGAGUGAACAUGUUGCUAGAUCACUAAUAUAUGGUUGUAUGGCUGAUUGUUUGUUAAUCUAAGGAGUGUGUGGAAAGUUAUUUUGAAGGGUGUAAAAUUCUCUCUUUAGCCAGUAGCCUGGAGCAAUUGUGAAGCUCCACAACACUGUGUAAUCAUGGAUUUAGUACCAGUACAUCCAUCUAGGUGCAAAUUAUUAUAUUGAAAAUCAAUUACAGUGGGAGAUGCCACAAAACCUUGCUUUGCCAAAAGAAAAAGGGAGAGGGGAGUUUUAGAUGAAGAGAAAUUGAAGAGGAACCCAACAGGACUACCACCCCAUCGAGGAUUAUGGACAUGGCAAAAAAAAAAAAAAAUAGAUAUGGGCUUUCCGAAGAAAAAGGGAACACAAGGUCACUUGGAAACAGUCCCAGAAAAGGACCACAUAGUAUUCUGAGUAGCUCCAAUUCUUUUAAAAACAUGGGUCACAACCAAGGAGUAAGAAUAAAUGAUACCCAAAAAGACCAAAUUAAGAAAUGGAUAUCCGAUGACCAUCGUGGCAAUUCAGACAGCUGGAGAGAGUACAAAUCUACAGUUGGGAUUCCUGUGCUUAACAGGACAAGAAAAGACUCUUUUCAUGAGGUAGAAGGUGCAGGAAGCAGAAAUGUCAGAAGACAGCUUCAGAAAGACUUAAAUGAAGAAAUGUCAGACACACAGAAAGGAAACUGUGGUAAUGAACACAUUUUUUACAUAGUUUUUUAAAGUAAAAUCGAUUACUGUGUGCUUGUCCAGAAAGUACAACUUUAAGGUUCACUGUUAAUGCAAAAAGCUAAAUAAAACCAUUUCUGUUCCGUAA